GCUGGCUUGGUGUAACGUAUUGGUAGCAUACCUGUCGGGGUAAACUUCUCCACGAGCCCGGGGGAGAUCCAGGUUCGAAUCCUGGAGUCGGCA